rnacentral:rRNA from 1 species
AUGGUGUACUGGUACAGCACUGUCCCAUUUCAGUUACCAUCCGAUUUUAUUUGCUUUAGUGCAUCACUCGCUAGAACUAUCAGUUCCAUGCAACCUUACUUGCUUUGGGGCAUCAUCAAUCAUUCGUCACAAACUUGUGAGCUGGCAAUCUGGUUUAACAAACCGUGUAUUAUGAGAAUCUUAACAGGAGGAUGUAUGCUGACUUUCUCAGUUUCCAAUCAUUCUUCCCUUUCCCUUUUUUGCAGAAACAGUACACUGUGA